rnacentral:rRNA from 1 species
AUUGAACGCUGGUGGUAUGCUUAACACAUGCAAGUCGAACGGUAACAGGUCUUCGGAUGCUGACGAGUGGCGGACGGGUGAGUAACGCGUAGGAAUCUGCCUACAAGGUGGGGGAUACCGAUUGGAAACGAUCGUUAAUACCGCAUGAUAAUUUAGGUUUAAAGGUGGCUUUAGGGCUGCCGCUUGUAGAUGAGCCUGCGUAAGAUUAGCUAGUUGGUGGGGUAAGGGCCCACCAAGGCGACGAUCUUUAGCUGAUUUGAGAGGAUGAUCAGCCACACUGGAACUGAGACACGGUCCAGUCUCCUACGGGAGGCAGCAGGUGGGGAAUAUUGGACAAUGGGGGAAACCCUGAUCCAGCAAUACCAUGUGUGUGAAGAAGGCCUUAGGGUUGUAAAGCACUUUAGUUGGGGAGGAAGUUUAGCAAGUUAAUAGCUAGUUAAAUUGACGUUACCCAAAGAAUAAGCACCGGCUAACUCCGUG